UCUAUAUCAACUGAGUUCUUGGA
rnacentral:piRNA from 1 species